GACAGAGGGUGCAAACGUUGUUCGGAAUUACUGGGCGUAAAGCGCGUGUAGGCUGCUUCGCAAGUCGGAUGUGAAAGCCCUGGGCUCAACCCAGGAAGUGCAUUCGAAACUGCAGAGCUGGAGUCCUGGAGAGGAAGGCGGAAUUCCGUCGGUGUAGAGGUGAAAUUCGUAGAUAUCGAGAGGAACACCGGUGGCGAAGGCGGCCUUCUGGACAGUGACUGACGCUGAGACGCGAAAGCGUGGGGAGCAAACAGG
rnacentral:rRNA from 1 species